ACUAGCCCUCCUUUGUAAUAAACAAAGUUAAAAUCAAGUAGUGUAACCCAAUGAAGUAUAAACACAUUUUUUUUUUUAUUUUCAAAGAUCUAACUUUCAAGAAGGUGGUGAAGAUGAAGUUUCUGACUCCGCCCUCUUUGGAUCUGAAUGACCCUGCGGUGCAGGAAGACCUGCUGCAGCAGUUGAGUCAGAAGCUGAAGGACCAGGGAGUGGAUGGAGAAGUGAAGCUGAGCUGGAGGAAGCUGCCAGGCUGAGAACUUUCAAACAGGAGAGCUUUUCAAAUCAAGCCGAGAUUUAACAUUUGUUUCUUCAUUUCACAAUGGAAAAAAAUCAAUAUACAUGUUGCUCCUUCAUUUAUCAAGCUAUUCUUAAACCUUUCAGAGUAAACUACCGUAUCUUCCGCACUAUAAGGUACACUUAAGUCUAAAGUUUUUCAAAAAUCAGCCGUGCACCUAACAAUCUGGUGUGUCUUUUGUGUGUUCCAAGUUCCAAAAUCUUCUUGCGUAACUUUGGGAAGUCUUUGCUUGAUUGACUGUCAAACCAUGAGUAAGGAUUGGAAGGGGCUGGUGCUCGGGGAGCAGGUUUUUAGAGGAAUGUUCAGAAAUGCGUGAAUGAAGCCAAAAAUCACGCUGAGGUUGUUUUUAACAAUUUAAUUCGCUCAAAAAUGUUGAUUGUGCACAUAGGCCCUUUAAUAGGUUUUCCAUAGCAGCACACUUAUUUACAACAAAUUUAGAAUGGGAUUCAGAACAUUUGAGUUUAUUGUGUUUUUUUAAUUCAAAUAAAACUGUAAAAAAAAUAAUCUAAGCCGUGUCAACUUUAUAAACCAGUGCAAAGUAAAAUAAAAGUUUCUACAGUCUGAACAGAUGUCGAGUCUUUUACUAAAAGAGAAUAUUUAAACUGACAAUUAUACAUAAAGGAAACAUAUUCUACAACAUAGAGAUUGAUUUUAUUAAUUGCAUAAGAAGAUGUCAUGAUUUUUUGCUUUUAUGUCUUUAAGUCUUUUGCUACAGCUUUUAAACUCAUUUGUUUCGUAGAAAUUUAUGUGAUAAAAACAUUAAAAUUCUAACAUGACUCAAACAUUUUCAAGCAACUGUUUGUUGUUUUGUUUUCAAUUGAUUUUAGUGUUGGCAUAAAAGUAGUAUCACAUUUAACUGGAGAUAACUUUUCAAAUUUGUGCUAAAAAUUCUGGAAUCCCAAUAAACCGCUGUCAAAAAAUAAAUAAAUAAAUAAAGUCUCACUCCAACCAGGGACGUGCAAAGGAUUUUUGAGGGGCAGGGGCUCAAAGUUGGGGUGAUGGUGGGGAACCAAAAUUUUUUUUUUUUUUUUGGUCCUUUAAACAAUAUGUAAAUUAACGAAAAUGUUUAAAUAAAGUACAAAGAGAUAAUUACUAAGCGUUAUGACCCGUAUUGGUGAAAGUGAUAUAAGUGUCAUUUUUUAAACAAUUUAUUGUCAACAUGAGUUCAUUCCUUUUAUCAUAGGCUUGGAAAAUAUCCAAAACAUUAAAUCAGUGGAGGCUCUUUAUGUUGGGACUGUGAUGCAGGCAGAAUCCACGUGAAUAAAUUAUAAUAUUUAAAAUACAAAUCCAACAACUUUCAUCUCCAGAAAGCGGAAAUUAAUAAUAUUUAAUGUCCUUAUCACACUGUUGCUGUGAGGAUUUUGUGAUUUAUUUUGGUGUUUCAGUAAGAUUCUGUCUCCUGUCUGUCAAAUCCAGUUCAUGUUGAUCAUUAACGCUGUUUUCAUUUCUGUUUAUUGUCUUCAGUUAUUUUUCUCUGUUUUUCCUCUGU
ensembl:lncRNA